rnacentral:lncRNA from 1 species
GGAGGAGAAGGGAAAAAAAUACAGUAUAGACUAGGAAGUGACUCCUAGGUCGUCUCUCAAGGACCAAAUGUAUUGCGAGAAUCAGGUAAAACACGAAGUUGGGGGGGGGGGUUGUGAAAAGUCUGUGAAUGCAGAUGAAUUAAACUAAAACACAGAUGCAAACAAAACUGUAAACAGAAAUCAAAGUGGAAUCAAAUACAGAAUAAAAACGGUUGGUCAUUAACUCAAUCACUAUGCUUCCAAUCCCAGAUUAAAGACAAGUACAUACUACUUUAAUCCAAAUCCGACACGAAUCACCCAACUAAGCGAAGGCUAAUUCAGUCUUUAGAAUUGCAAACUAAGCGAAUUCAAUGCACAAAUCUAAUCAGUCAUCCACC